UUUAACAGUAAUGUAAUUUCAACUGAAAUUAAUAUUUCAUUGAUUUCACAUAUAUUUACUUGUUUGUUAAGUAGUACAAAAUGUACUACUGUAAGACAUCCAAACACUUUCAGGAUGAUACAAUAUAUUUUUAUGUAGGUGCUCUGAUCACAUUGUCAGGGUUUAUAAUUUAUGACAGCUGACUGUGUUUACGUACAAAUCAAUGAGGUAACAUUUCAUUUAUGUCCUUUCAUAUAUGUCAUGCAAUUGAGAUGACUUGGAAAAAGUGUUCAAAUUAACCUGAAUUCUCCCUAUAUAUAUGGAUAGGAGCAGUGUGAAUAUUCUACUUCAAGAAAAAUAAUACACAUUUGAAAAGACUUGAGGAAAUGUGGGGUUUAUACCUCUCUGAGAAUCUCGAUGGUCUCCCCGACAACCAGCUCCAGCUCGUCCUCAUGCAGGGGAGCGUAGGGGAAAGUCACCUCGCAUUUCCUCGUCUGCACCUUUGGUUUCUUCGCUGGAGCAUUGAAAUUUAUUUUGAAGGAACGUCUCUAUUACUGUUGGGGACUUUGAUUUAUCCAAGCUGAAGUUCAUUAAAAAGAUUCGUUCAGAUAAUCCCACCUUCUGCAGUUACUCCAGACCGAUCGGCGUAUGACAAGUACCGCGAGAG